rnacentral:rRNA from 1 species
AGAGCGAACGCUGGCGGCAGGCCUAAUACAUGCAAGUCGAACGGACCCUUCGGGGUUAGUGGCGGACGGGUGAGUAACACGUGGGAACGUGCCCUUUGGUUCGGAACAACUCAGGGAAACUUGAGCUAAUACCGAAUGUGCCCCCAUCCUUAAACAAGAUGGGUGGGAAAGAUUUAUCGCCAUUGGAGCGGCCCGCGUCUGAUUAGCUAGUUGGUGAGGUAAAGGCUCACCAAGGCGACGAUCGAUAGCUGGUCUGAGAGGAUGAUCAGCCACACUGGGACUGAGACACGGCCCAGACUCCUACGGGAGGCAGCAGUGGGGAAUAUUGGACAAUGGGCGCAAGCCUGAUCCAGCAAUGCCGCGUGUGUGAAGAAGGCCUUCGGGUUGUAAAGCACUUUUAUCAGGAACGAAAUACCACGGGUUAAUAACCUAUGGGCUGACGGUACCUGAGGAAUAAGCACCGGCUAACUUCGUGCCAGCAGCCGC